rnacentral:lncRNA from 1 species
GGCUCUAAUCAUAGUUGGGUCUGGGCCAAACGUGUCUUCCAGUCGGUAAGCUGCGAGAGCAGAGCACACAAACACCAUGUAAAACGCCUGGAUAAGGAUAAUACUGGAGGCUGCCAUGGGAGAAGUCUGCACAAAAAGAGCAAGUUUAAGAGCUUCAGGAGUCAUAAAUGGCUUGAGAAGAUUAUGCUAGAGAUUGAAGCAGAUGGAAGAUUCUAGAAACAGAAAGCAUUCUUUUCAUUGGUUCCCGAAGGCAAAAAUGAAUUGUACUCUUCUUAUACAUGUUGCUGCUUUCAAGAUUUCCAUUUUACACCAUUGAUGGGCCUUAGUUUUUGGGUUGUCUACAAAGUCAAGUUUCUCUUAUUUGGAAAACCUGAAUAUAGCCUUGCAGUACAAAGCACUGGUCAUGCUGUCCACUUUCAGAAGAUGGCAUGGAAUUCACAGCAACAAGAAAUGUUUUGGAAUGCUGGCAAAGGAGCAGAAAACAGUGUUCUCCCCACACAUUUAGAAAAAUAAAGACAGGUUUCCAUGUGCAAGGCUCCAGCCCAGACCAAUGACACUGCUUAUCUAUGAUUGUCAAAAUGCCAGCUAUCACCAGUGAAGAACUCCAGGUGGCACAAAUACUAUGACCUGUCUCCUAACAGAUCUCAGGAGGUAUUCCAUAGACAUCGGAUAUCUGUGUCUUAUGUCUCCAGUUUAAUUGUAAAUCCCCAAAGGACAGAACUGAGCCUGCUUCUUUGGUUUUCAAACAAAAUGUCACAUCCAGUGACAUUUUGAAAAUAAAACUUUGGCUCAUAAAUUUUAGAGCCAAGCAUAGGAUGCUGACAAGGGCCCUACCCAGCCAAUGGACAGCAGCUUGGUGACUUCUGAUCUCAUUUUUACUUAGAAAAAUUUCUCUAAAAUCAAUUUAGAGAGUUAUGAUCAGCACUAAAAAAUAAAUAAAAUAUAAGCAAAGGGAAAAUAUCCCAGUGAAUUACCCUUCAUAAGGAUGAGGAUUGCUUUGGGAAAUGUUUUAGUAUAUGUGCACUGUGUCAUAACCAGCAUUUUGAAAACCAUUGUGCAGCAGUGUAAGGACUCCAUAGAUGCUUGGUUUGGGGUCAUUUAAAUUGUCAAAGGAAGAGUGGAGGUAAAGAUUUGUAAAGGAGCCUCUCUGUAAAAUCAUGAGGGUCCUUUUGUGGCUCCUGAUCUUUGAUCCAUCAGUCUCAGAAUGAGGUGUAAGCAAGCCAUUAGGUUGCUGCAUGAGUCUGGUUGGGCACCUCCUUCCCUCAUUUUGAACAGUGAGAUUAAGCCACAAACUCUCUGAGGAGGUUCAAAUGCUGAUGUAAGUCUCAGAGUGAACACAACCUAUAAACACUACUAUAAGUUUCAAUCAUGUAAAUGGGAAGUUAAUUAUGAUUGUCAUAAACUGCUAGGUUCAACAACCUUCAAUUUAUUUUUUUAAAUGUUAAUGGAGUGCUUCCCCUGUGCCAGGAUUGUGUAGCCUGAAAAUACAGAGUUGAAUGAGGUACAGGUUACAACUUAGAAGAGCUUAUGAUCUAAUACAGGAGUUGGCAAACUACAGCCUGUGGGCCAAAUCUGGCCUACAAUCUGUUUGCAUAAAUAAAGUUUUAUUGGAA